GCAGUCGAACGGAACUGUUUUGAAAGAUUUCUUCGGAAUGAAUUUGAUUUAGUUUAGUGGCGGACGGGUGAGUAACGCGUGAGUAACCUGCCUUCAAGAGGGGGAUAACAUUCUGAAAAGGAUGCUAAUACCGCAUGACAUAUCGGAACCACAUGGUUUUGAUAUCAAAGAUUUUAUCGCUUGAAGAUGGACUCGCGUCCGAUUAGUUAGUUGGUGAGGUAACGGCUCACCAAGACCGCGAUCGGUAGCCGGACUGAGAGGUUGAACGGCCACAUUGGGACUGAGACACGGCCCAGACUCCUACGGGAGGCAGCAGUGGGGGAUAUUGCGCAAUGGGGGCAACCCUGACGCAGCAACGCCGCGUGAAGGAUGAAGGUUUUCGGAUUGUAAACUUCUUUUAUUAAGGACGAAAAAUGACGGUACUUAAUGAAUAAGCUCCGGCUAACUACGUGCCAGCAGCCGCGGUAAUACGUAGGGAGCAAGCGUUGUCCGGAUUUACUGGGUGUAAAGGGUGCGUAGGCGGCUUUGCAAGUCAGAUGUGAAAUCUAUGGGCUCAACCCAUAAACUGCAUUUGAAACUGUAGAGCUUGAGUGAAGUAGAGGCAGGCGGAAUUCCCCGUGUAGCGGUGAAAUGCGUAGAGAUGGGGAGGAACACCAGUGGCGAAGGCGGCCUGCUGGGCUUUAACUGACGCUGAGGCACGAAAGCGUGGGUAGCAAACAGGAUUAGAUACCCUGGUAGUCCACGCUGUAAACGAUGAUUACUAGGUGUGGGGGUCUGACCCCUUCCGUGCCGGAGUUAACACAAUAAGUAAUCCACCUGGGGAGUACGGCCGCAAG
rnacentral:rRNA from 1 species